GGGUGGACCUGCUUCAAUCAUUUGAAAAGCCUGAAGUGGAACUAAAGCUCUCCUGAAGAAAAAAUUCCAUCUGUGUAUUGCAACUUAAAGCCCAAAAGUUCCAAUCUCCCCUUUCUGAUAGCUCUAGUAGUCUGCCAGCUCUCACAAUCACAUAAACGGAUUUUUCCCUAGAUUUCUCUCUCUCUCUUCCCCUCUGUUCCUUAUCACUUUCUCUCUAAUUCUGAUGGAAUCCUGGCUAAUAUACUGAGUAAAUUACCACCUCUCUGAUUUUUAAUUUCUUCAUCUGUAAAAUGGGCACAGUAAUAACCUCACGGGUUUGCUGCAAGAUUUUUAUUUGAUAACUUGGUAAGUGAGGUAAAGCACCUAACAUGACUGGCAUAUAGCAGGCCCUUAAGAAAUGGUGAUCCCAUAGAUCCCCUCUGCUUUCCUAAUCCACAAAUUCUAAUUCUGCCUCUGCAACUGAAAGCAGUGUGUCUCUUCCUUUGCUCACACAGUUCCCCUUCGAAUAUCUGAACCCACCUAUUUCACAUUUAUUUAGCUCUAGGUAGGUGGGCAAUUUAGGAGGGGCUCAGCCAGAUACGCUUCUCCUCUGGGCUUGUUUCUCCCACUUGACUGUUGGCUGAUUGAAAACAACCUCAGCUGGUCUAGCACUGCUGGCUGAGCUGGCUGGGACAACUAGGCAUUUGAGCUCUCCUCUGCUGUCUUCUCUAUGGCUCCUUCAGACUAACUCAGGAGUGUUUUUAUGGCCUGGGGAGAGAAUCAGAGUAAACAGGCUCUCAGGCAAGAAACAACUACAGCUGUCCCUCUGUAUCCACAGGGAUUGGUUCCAGGACCUCCCAGGGAUACCAAAAUCCAUGGACGUUCAAGUCCCUUGCAUAAAACAGCAAAGAAUUUGCAUAUGACCUACACACAUCCUCCCAUUUACUUUAAAUCAUCUCUAGAUUACUUAAAAAUACCCAAUAAAUGCUAUGUGAAUAGCUGCCAGCAAGUGGCAAUUCAAGCUUUGCUUUUUGGAAUUUUCUGGAAAAAAAUUUUUUUUUCAGAAUAUCUUUCAUUCACUGUUGGUUGAAUCCAUGGAUGCAGAACCCACAGAUAAGAAAGGUGACUGGAGAGGUCUUUUUCUGUACUCAAUAAAUGGUCUUCAUAUUUCUUAUUUUGUGA
ensembl:lncRNA